ACGUUAGCGGCGGACGGGUGAGUAACACGUGGGUAACCUACCUAUAAGACUGGGAUAACUUCGGGAAACCGGAUCUAAUACCGGAUAAUAUUUCGAACCGCAUGGUUCGAUAGUGAAAGAUGGUUUUGCUAUCACUUAUAGAUGGACCCGCGCCGUAUUAGCUAGUUGGUAAGGUAACGGCUUACCAAGGCGACGAUACGUAGCCGACCUGAGAGGGUGAUCGGCCACACUGGAACUGAGACACGGUCCAGACUCCUACGGGAGGCAGCAGCU
rnacentral:rRNA from 1 species